rnacentral:rRNA from 1 species
UACUCCUACGGGAGGCAGCAGUAGGGAAUCUUCGGCAAUGGACGGAAGUCUGACCGAGCAACGCCGCGUGAGUGAAGAAGGUUUUCGGAUCGUAAAGCUCUGCUGUAAGAGAAGAACGAGUGUGAGAGUGGAAAGUUCACACUGUGACGGUAUCUUACCAGAAAGGGACGGCUAACUACGUGCCAGCAGCCGCGGUAAUACGUAGGUCCCGAGCGUUAUCCGGAUUUAUUGGGCGUAAAGCGAGCGCAGGCGGUUAGAUAAGUCUGAAGUUAAAGGCUGUGGCUUAACCAUAGUACGCUUUGGAAACUGUUUAACUUGAGUGCAAGAGGGGAGAGUGGAAUUCCAUGUGUAGCGGUGAAAUGCGUAGAUAUAUGGAGGAACACCGGUGGCGAAAGCGGCUCUCUGGCUUGUAACUGACGCUGAGGCUCGAAAGCGUGGGGAGCAAACAGGAUUAGAUACCCUGGUAGUCCACGCCGUAAACGAUGAGUGCUAGGUGUUAGACCCUUUCCGGGGUUUAGUGCCGUAGCUAACGCAUUAAGCACUCCGCCUGGGGAGUACGACCGCAAGGUUGAAACUCAAAGGAAUUGACGGA